rnacentral:rRNA from 1 species
GUCCAUCAUUCAGUUUGGGGUCGACUCUAGCGAGACUGCCGGUAAUAAACCGGAGGAAGGUGGGGAUGACGUCAAAUCAUCAUGCCCCUUAUGACCUGGGCUACACACGUGCUACAAUGGUUGGUACAACGAGUUGCGAGUCGGUGACGGCGAGCUAAUCUCUUAAAGCCAAUCUCAGUUCGGAUUGUAGGCUGCAACUCGCCUACAUGAAGUCGGAAUCGCUAGUAAUCGCGGAUCAGCACGCCGCGGUGAAUACGUUCCCGGGCCUU